AGAGUUUGAUCCUGGCUCAGGACGAACGCUGGCGGCGUGCUUAACACAUGCAAGUCGAACGGAAAGGCCCUUCGGGGUACUCGAGUGGCGAACGGGUGAGUAACACGUGGGUGAUCUGCCCUGCACUUUGGGAUAAGCCUGGGAAACUGGGUCUAAUACCGAAUAGGACCACGCGCUUCAUGGUGUGUGGUGGAAAGCUUUUGCGGUGUGGGAUGGGCCCGCGGCCUAUCAGCUUGUUGGUGGGGUAAUGGCCUACCAAGGCGACGACGGGUAGCCGGCCUGAGAGGGUGACCGGCCACACUGGGACUGAGAUACGGCCCAGACUCCUACGGGAGGCAGCAGUGGGGAAUAUUGCACAAUGGGCGCAAGCCUGAUGCAGCGACGCCGCGUGAGGGAUGACGGCCUUCGGGUUGUAAACCUCUUUCAAUAGGGACGAAGCGCAAGUGACGGUACCUAUAGAAGAAGCACCGGCCAACUACGUG
rnacentral:rRNA from 1 species